GAUGAACGCUGGCGGCGUGCCUAAUACAUGCAAGUCGAGCGAACAGACGAGGAGCUUGCUCCUCUGACGUUAGCGGCGGACGGGUGAGUAACACGUGGAUAACCUACCUAUAAGACUGGGAUAACUUCGGGAAACCGGAGCUAAUACCGGAUAAUAUAUUGAACCGCAUGGUUCAAUAGUGAAAGACGGUUUUGCUGUCACUUAUAGAUGGAUCCGCGCCGCAUUAGCUAGUUGGUAAGGUAACGGCUUACCAAGGCAACGAUGCGUAGCCGACCUGAGAGGGUGAUCGGCCACACUAGAACUGAGACACGGUCCAGACUCCUACGGGAGGCAGCAGUAGGGAAUCUUCCGCAAUGGGCGAAAGCCUGACGGAGCAACGCCGCGUGAGUGAUGAAGGUCUUCGGAUCGUAAAACUCUGUUAUUAGGGAAGAACAAAUGUGUAAGUAACUAUGCACGUCUUGACGGUACCUAAUCAGAAAGCCACGGCUAACUACGU
rnacentral:rRNA from 1 species